rnacentral:lncRNA from 1 species
AUGUUUUCCUUACUUGGGGCAAUAUUAUGGUUUCCACUAAAACAUUUGCCCUCUGUUUAUAAAAACGCGGCAGAAAAGGAGGCAGAAGGGACUCUUCACCAUGAUUUUCCAGCUACUGUUGUGGCUCUUAUUAUCAGCGGUGGACUGGAAAUUCCACCAGCACAGGUGGUGACUCUGAUCUUGCCCAGAAAAAGAGCCCCGUCUCCCUCAUGCACAUGGCCUGAGGACAUCUGCUUCUUGUCACUAGACUGCCCCAGAGUAUCCAAGCAGCACCUCCAUCUCACUGGAAAGGCCUGCACAAGAAAGGAGAGGACCACUGAGUUUUUUCCAGAAGUCUGGAGAAGAAAAUCCUUAGCACUAAUUUUUUUAAAGGAAGUUAUUCAUUUUCUGAACCUUCAUAAAACAGGGCGAUUGCAGAAGAGCCCCUGAGAUGGUGACCAGUUAAAGCCACCGAGGCCCUGGAAGCAACGUAAUGCUCUUGCAGGCAAAGAGAUCAGCAAAAUACAGAGUCCCAGGUCCACAUUAUUUUCCAGGAAGACCUACUGUUCCGCUCAUCCAAAACUUCCUUCUUAUCAGAAGGGUGAUGUCCACAUUUGGCUUCCCUCAGAGGCUGUUUCAGGACAUCUGCACUGGCCUGCCCUCCCCACCCCACGCCGACCCCCCGCAGCCCCCCACCCCCGCCAGGCCUCUCCCAGCUGCUCUUCAAAAGAAGACACACCGUUACCACUUCCACACUUCCCGUUAGUCUGGAAGCUUGAACCACUCUUCAUUUUUCUUUACCCAACAACCAAGGCCCCGGAUUUCCAUUUGCCUUCCUGCUGCUUUAAACUUGGAAGCCCCUCUUAGGAAAGGAAGCCACCCCUGCAGGUCUAUGUCGGCAAUCUCUUCCUACUUCUCCCCUAGGGCAGCUCCCACCCGAUGAGGCUGUUCCGCAGAGACAACAGCCUGGCCUCAGCCCAAUAGUUGUUAUGUUUUCUGGACACUAAUCACUCGUGACUUCAACGUAUUACAAUCAUUGACUUCAACGUAUUACAAUCAUUUUCUUCCAGUUUGUGACUUGAUUUUCACUUUUUUUUUUUAGUGUCUUUUGAGGAACCAAAUUUCUAAUUUUAAUAGGAGUCAAAUUUAUCCCUAUUUUUUAUUCAUUGCUUAUGCUUUUUUGUCUUAAUAAAAAAAAACCCUUCUCCCUCA